UUGUUCAGUUUUGUCUUUUUUUUUUUUUUCCUUCCUUCUCCCACGUUCCUUAUUUCCGAUCGUUCCACUAUUCAUGUAUUCCUGCUCCUUGAACUUCAACUGCUCCCGGCUCCAUCUUCUUCGUCAACCAUAGAAACCGCCAUAUCCACCCCACGUUCUUCCUUCAUCGCAUAUCCUUCUUCAUUGUGUAACUGUCCCGUCUACAUAAGAGUUCAAUCUCAACCUAAUUGCUUCAAGUGUUUCAACAUUUGCUUCAAAUUGCUUCAAGCUUCUCAUAAUCAUGGACCACAAAUCAACUGAGAACAUUUUCCCCUUUGAAUAAAAGCCAUCCAAUGAUUUUUAUUUUUUCUUUGAAUGCACUUGGAAGAUCCCAGACAACGAUGGCCUCUUACUUCCAUAUACACUUUUCUAUAUGUAAAUCUCAUUGGACGUCCACUCACUUACUCAGUAAGUUUCAAUUUCAGGUUUUUUAUUUGUCAACUGAUACUGAUAAUAGAGAUGCUAUUGAGGGAGAACGACGACUAUUGUCUCAUUCGAGGCCACCUGCCACUGCUGGUUUUGACGUUCAAUUUUGGAUUCCGGCUUGAACUUUACCAGAAGAAAAAUAGCAGAUUCCGUUUGACAUCUCGAUGAAUCAAAUGUGAGUGGGCAUGAUAGCGAGGGUACAUCUUGGAUUUAGUGCUUUUGCAAUAUAUGUGGGAAUGAACUUUUCUGUGAAGUUGAUGAAAAUUACAUCGAAUAUGAUUUAACAACUUUGGUUUAAGCAACCAAUGAUUAUGGUCUUGAUUAGAUUACUGUUUUGCUUCUCUUAUUAGUUAUUACAUGAAAAAAAGGUUCGUCAUUUGUGACUUUUGAUAGUGAAUAACAAAUAUAAAUUGCGAUUUAUCGUUUCUACUUAAAUCCAAUAAUCAUCAUUUGGGUUCUAAUUUGUUGCUCUUUUGUGUAUAUGAACUUUCUUAAACUAUAGAAAAAGUGGGGGGAAGAAGUGAAGUUUGACUUUAAUAAUGCAAUAAACGCAGAGUGACUUUAAUGAUGUUAAACUAUACAAACUACUCUCUUUAAGUGUUUGAGGAAUCUCAAAUAUGACAUUUUAUAGAUGUCGAACUUUAAAAUUUUCUUAUGUUUUUUAUGUGAAUUUUUAAUUGCAUUGAUUUGUUUUGUUUAUUGGUUUGAUAGAGUAUGCAACUGAAUCAACAUAUGUUUUUUUAAUGUGAAUAUUCAUCUUCUCUCUAAA